rnacentral:rRNA from 1 species
AUUGAACGCUGGCGGCAUGCUUUACACAUGCAAGUCGAACGGUAACAGGCCGCAAGGUGCUGACGAGUGGCGAACGGGUGAGUAAUGCAUCGGAACGUGCCCAGUCGUGGGGGAUAACUACUCGAAAGAGUAGCUAAUACCGCAUACGAUCUAUGGAUGAAAGCGGGGGACCGUAAGGCCUCGCGCGAUUGGAGCGGCCGAUGUCAGAUUAGGUAGUUGGUGGGGUAAAGGCUCACCAAGCCAACGAUCUGUAGCUGGUCUGAGAGGACAACCAGCCACACUGGGACUGAGACACGGCCCAGACUCCUACGGGAGGCAGCAGUGGGGAAUUUUGGACAAUGGGCGCAAGCCUGAUCCAGCAAUGCCGCGUGCAGGAAGAAAGCCUUCGGGUUGUAAAAUGCUUUUGUACGGAACGAAACGGCUCUGGUUAAUACCCGGGGCUAAUGACGGUACCGUAAGAAUAAGCACCGGCUAACUACGUG